rnacentral:piRNA from 1 species
UGCUGGAGCCAGAUGAGAGU